rnacentral:tRNA from 1 species
GGUCUGAUAGCUCAGUUGGAACGAGCGCUCGCCUGAAAAGCGAGAGGCCUCCGGUUCGAUCCCGGAUCAGACCACAA